AUUGAACGCUGGCGGUAGGCUUAACACAUGCAAGUCGAGCGGAGUGAUGGUGCUUGCACUAUCACUUAGCGGCGGACGGGUGAGUAAUGCUUAGGAAUCUGCCUAUUAGUGGGGGACAACAUCUCGAAAGGGAUGCUAAUACCGCAUACGUCCUACGGGAGAAAGCAGGGGAUCACUUGUGACCUUGCGCUAAUAGAUGAGCCUAAGUCGGAUUAGCUAGUUGGUGGGGUAAAGGCCUACCAAGGCGACGAUCUGUAGCGGGUCUGAGAGGAUGAUCCGCCACACUGGGACUGAGACACGGCCCAGACUCCUACGGGAGGCAGCAGUGGGGAAUAUUGGACAAUGGGGGGAACCCUGAUCCAGCCAUGCCGCGUGUGUGAAGAAGGCCUUAUGGUUGUAAAGCACUUUAAGCGAGGAGGAGGCUCUUUUGGUUAAUACCCAAGAUGAGUGGACGUUACUCGCAGAAUAAGCACCGGCUAACUCUGUGCCAGCCGCCGCUGUAA
rnacentral:rRNA from 1 species